AAGCGAUGUGGAGCGAAACCCGAAAACGACACCCCCACGUUCGGAGUUGCAGGCCGAAACUUACGCCCUUCAUGAAGCUGGAAUUGCUAGUAAUGGCAGGUCAGCAUACUGCCGUGAAUACGUUCCCGGGCCUUGUACACACCGCCCGUCACACCAUGAGAGUUGGGAAUACCCGAAGCCUGUGAGCUAACUUAUAGAGGCAGCAGUCGAAGGUAGAAUCAAUGAUUGGGGUGAAGUCGUAACAAGGUAUC
rnacentral:rRNA from 1 species